GACGAACGCUAGCUACAGGCUUAACACAUGCAAGUCGAGGGACCGGCGCACGGGUGAGUAACACGUAUCCAACCUGCCCUUUAAUCGGGGAUAGCCGUUCGAAAGAAAGAUUAAUACCCGAUAUAAAGGAUGGGGAUGCGUUCCAUUAGGUUGUUGGUGAGGUAACGGCCCACAAAGCCUUCGAUGGAUAGGGGUUCUGAGAGGAAUGUCCCCCACAUUGGAACGGGGACACGGUCCAAACUCCUACGGGAGGCAGCAGUGAGGAAUAUUGGUCAAUGGGCGUUAGCCUGAACCGGCCAAGUAGCGUGAAGGAUGAAGGCUUAUGGGUCGUGAACUUCUUUUAUAUAAGAAUAUGUAUUAUAUGAAUAAGGAUCGGCUAACUCCGUGCCAGCAGCCGCGGUAAUAC
rnacentral:rRNA from 1 species